rnacentral:rRNA from 1 species
AACGAACGCUGGCGGCGUGCCUAACACAUGCAAGUCGGGGGAGAAAGGGAGCUUCGGUUCCCGAGUAAACCGGCGCACGGGUGAGUAACACGUAGGUAACGUACCUUGGGGUCCGGGAUAACCAGUCGAAAGAUUGGCUAAUGCCGGAUACGACCGUGAGGGCCUCGGCCUUCGCGGUGAAAGAUGGCCUCUGCUUGCAAGCUAUCACCCCUGGAGCGGCCUGCGCACCAUUAGCUUGUUGGGGGGUAACGGCCUACCAAGGCUGAGAUGGUUAGCUGGUCUGAGAGGAUGGCCAGCCACACUGGGACUGAGACACGGCCCAGACUCCUACGGGAGGCAGCAGUGGGGAAUAUUGCGCAAUGGGCGAAAGCCUGACGCAGCGACGCCGCGUGGGUGAUGAA